rnacentral:rRNA from 1 species
UACAGAGGUCUCAAGCGUUGUUCGGAUUCAUUGGGCGUAAAGGGUGCGUAGGCGGCGCGGUAAGUCGGGUGUGAAAUUUCGAGGCUUAACUCCGAAACUGCAUUCGAUACUGCCGUGCUUGAGGACUGGAGAGGAGACUGGAAUUUACGGUGUAGCGGUGAAAUGCGUAGAUAUCGUAAGGAAGACCAGUGGCGAAGGCGGGUCUCUGGACAGUUCCUGACGCUGAGGCACGAAGGUCAGGGGAGCAAACGGG